AUUGAACGCUGGCGGCAGGCCUAACACAUGCAAGUCGAACGAGUGGCGGACGGGUGAGUAAUGUCUGGGAAACUGCCUGAUGGAGGGGGAUAAUUUCAGGAAACGGAAGCUAAUACCGCAUACCAUCAGAUGUGCGCAGAUGGGAUUUGCUAGUUGUUGGGGUAACGGCUCACCAAGGCGACGAUCCCGAGCUGGUCGGAGAGGAUGACCAGCCACACUGGAACUGAGACACGGUCCAGACUCCUCCGGUAGGCAGCAGUGGGGAAUAUUGCACAAUGGGCGCAAGCCGGAUACAGCCAUGCCGCGUGUAUGAAGAAGGCCUUCGGGUUGUAAAGUACUUUCAGCGGGGAGGCGUUACCCGCAGAAGAAGCACCGGCUAACUCCGUGCCAGCAGCCGCGGUAAUUC
rnacentral:rRNA from 1 species